rnacentral:lncRNA from 1 species
ACCAAUAAACCAUAUAUAUAUAUAUAUAUAUAUAUAUAGUCUGUGAAAGCAUGCCAAACAAACAUCUAGUUAUGUCACAUCCCGACUUUUAUAUUUUUUACCUUAUUUACUAGCUUGUUUAUAAUAAGAAUUUUACCGUCUCCGUCAUUGAGUUAAUAGUUUAAUUGGUCCCUAGAGGGGUUUCGGGGACGAUUAUUCGUAGAGGAAAAUAUGGCGACGGUAAAAAUGAUAAAUUUUAGCUAGUAAAAGGUAAUUUUUAUUCAUGUAUUAUUUUUUUCAGGGUGUUUUAUUUUUGAGUUGGGUUGAUAUAAGAUUGGACUGGUUUGGGGUGUGAGGCCCAAAUCCAUUUUCUCUCCUCUCUUUUUUCCUCCCGGUUUCCCUCUUCCCUGAGUCUCCCGCUGCCCGGUUUUCCGGCUGUCUUUCCGCCGUCGUUCGGCCGCCGUUCGCCGCUGCUCCGGUCCCGUUCGGUUGCCCUCCGACCCAGCUACAUCCCUGGACCGGUGACAGCCACCCUAGCGCCGCCGUGAAGGAGUUCUCCCGCCUAGAACCUCGAGCUGCCCAAAAUCCUCCAUCGCCGGAACUCCCUCCUCCGGCCACCAAUCCGGGCAAGCUUGGUAUGGUUUUGUAGGUCUCCAACCCAGCUGCCUUGCCCUAAAAGGACUCACUCCGGUUUGCUUCAGGUAAGGAGAAAUUUGAGGUGGAAGCUCUAGGGCGUUUUUGAUGUUUUUGUUCGAUUGGCAUAGCUAGGCUUGAAUUUUGGGUUUGUGCUAGUUAGGAAAGUUGUAGAACAUGAUGAGAGGAAGAUGCUGUUAAAAUUUCAUAGGAAUUGGAGGUCGCCGGAAUCGGCCUUCGGCCGCCGCUGCCGGCGGAGCCGGCGCCGGCGCUAGAGCUGUUUGGGAGAUUUUGAUAUUUUUAGAUUUGGAAUAUUAAGGGGAGUUUAUUGAAGUGAGUUAUGGAAUUUUUAGAUGAGUUUUGGAUAGGUUUGUGAAUUUCCGAAGUUUGGUAUUUUUGGCGGUUAAUUAAUGUAGAAUCCGGCUGUAGGAUUUAAGUCGUAUUCUGUGGGAAGUUGUUUUUACGGCUGCCGGUAUGUUCGGCGAAGUUUGAGCCGUAUUGAGUUAAGAAUGGCGAAUUUGGGCAAUGAUGAGUGUGUGGGAGGCUCACGUUUAAUUUUGCCCAUUUUGUUUAAAUAUUGGAUUUUUGGUGGGAAAUUAAUUAUAUAUUUGGAACAGGACGAGAGGAGGCCCGAGCAGAGGAAGCCUCGGAGCGUCAUCAGGCUUAGGCCUAAUUAGUGAGUGGACCUUUAUUUUAAUUGAAAAGCAUGCGAUGAAUUAUCUGUUGAUCAUUUAUUUCUUUUCCUGAGAUUUAUUUAUUUCUCGGAUAUUUGGCAAUUUUCCUCCUUUGGAGAGAUCCCGAAAAUGAGAUUUUCGGUGGAUAUGUUUAUUGGAUGUUUAUGAUGAUAGUAUGUAUAUGUAAAUGCUAGCUAGUCAUACGUGUUUGAUCCGCCAUAAUGAGGUAAAAUACUAUUAUGGUGUGACGUGAGUGUU